AUUGAACGCUGGCGGCAUGCCUUACACAUGCAAGUCGAACGGGAACGUGUCCUUGGGUGGCGACGCGAAGCGAACGGGGUGAUAAUACAUCGAAAAGUGCCCGCUCCUGUGGGGGAACGCAGCGGAAACCUUCCUAAUACCCCAUACGAACUAAGGCUGAAACCUGUGGACCGCAAGGACUAGAGCUGCUGGAGCAGAGCAUUGCAGCCUAUGAAGUUGGUGGUGUGAAAACUUACCAAGCCGACGAUCUGUAGCAGGUCUGCGGGGAUGAUGGGCCACACUGGGACUGAUACACGGCCCAGACUCCUACGGGAGGCAGCAGUGAGGAAUAUUGGACGAAGGGGGCGAGAAUGAUCCAGCCAUGCCGCAUGCAGGAUGAAGGCCUUCUGUUUGUAAACUGCUGUUGUACGGAACGAAAAGCCUUCUUUGAAUACAGGAGGGUCAUGACGGUACCGUAAGAAUAAGCACCGGCUAACUACGUG
rnacentral:rRNA from 1 species